AAGUCCGCUCAACGCGCUUCGCACAUCUUCCCGCUCUCUCUCUCUCUCUCUCUCUCUCUCUCUCUAGCCCCACCCUCCAGAACGUUCUCACGCAUGUAGUACGCGCGUCUAGAUCGCGCGCGGCAUCCAAUUCCAGUCCUCCUUAAUUUCUUUCUGCCUUUUCCUUUUAUAAAGAAAUUCCCUUUGUCUAAUCCCUUCCCGCCUCCUCAAGCAACGGCCUCCUUUACUCAUUAGUACAAGUCCUAUAUAUAUAUGAAGACUAAUUAAUCAAUCAGAUGUGUGCAGCAGGCAAGCACGUCAAUUGAGAAUUAAUUAAUGGCGACGGCACCAGCCACGGCCGCCGUGCCCCCAAGCGCAGUCGCUGGCCUCCUCUCGUCGGCCCCGCGAGCGCCGAACCUGCAGAUCGCGGCCGCCUUUCCGAGCUCUUCCAAAGCACGUACCCGGCGGUCGGCCCUCGUCGUCGCAUCUGCGGCGCCGGAGAACGUGCCGAUCGAACCCAACAACGCUUUUGAAGUCCCAAUCGCAGGGAAUGGCGGCCCAAAGCUGCCCCGCCCUCCCUCCAAGCGCUACUCCUUCAGUAAUUAAUUUCAUUCGUUUCAUCGAUCACCAUCCAAACCAUAAAAGUAGCUAGCUAGCAACUAUAUAUAUUAAACAAAGCAUUAAUUACUCGUUCAUUUGCGUGUUGUUACUGAAGAUUAACUAACUAGAAGCAUGCAUGGUCAAAUAGGUAUUAGAUACGUACGUACGUAUGGCAUUUCUCUAUUUGAGUACGUACUUGAUUAUAUAAGAUGUAUAUUGA
rnacentral:lncRNA from 1 species